UACGUAGGGGGGCUAGCGUUGUCCGGAAUCAUUGGGCGUAAAGAGCGUGUAGGCGGCUUGGUAAGUCCGCUGUGAAAGUCCAGGGCUUAACCCUGGAAAGCCAGUGGAAACUGUCAAGCUAGAGUCCGGAAGAGGUGAGUGGAACUCCUGGUGUAGCGGUGAAAAUGCGCAGAUAUCAGGAAGAACACCAAAUGGCGAAGGCAGCUCACUGGGACGGUACUGACGCUGAGGUGCGAAAGCGUGGGGGAGCAAACAGG
rnacentral:rRNA from 1 species